AGCUCCAAUAGCGUAUAUUAAAGUUGUUGCAGUUAAAAAGCUCGUAGUUGGAUUUCGGGAUGAGAAGCAUGGUCUACCGAAAGGUGUGUACUAGGCGGCUCAUUCUUCCUUCUGUAGACCUUUGUGGUUCUUGAUUGGAUUGCAGAGUGGAUGCAGAACGUUUACUUUGAAUAAAUUAGAGUGUUCAAAGCAGGCAUUUGCUUGAAUACAUUAGCAUGGAAUAAUGGAAUAGGACUUUGGUUCUAUUUUGUUGGUUUCUAGGACCGAAGUAAUGAUUAAUAGGGAUAGUUGGGGGCAUUAAUAUUUAAUUGUCAGAGGUGAAAUUCUUGGAUUUAUGAAAGAUUAACUUCUGCGAAAGCAUUUGCCAAGGAUGUUUUCA
rnacentral:rRNA from 1 species